GGGGGUGAAACGGUUUCGACGGGGGUAGGAGAGGCAGGAGAAGCGAGUCCAGGACCAUGGCCUGGUAAAAACAUGGAACGGCUAUAACUGCCAAACCAGAAUUAGCACUCGCUGCUUAGAUAAAGCGGCGCGCCCCUCUUUUCCGUGCUUGCCGGAAAAGAUAAGGGUGUCAUAAAAGCAGGCUACCUGCAGCGGAGGCCGCUCCUCCUUUGCGGCGGGGAACUUAAUUGGAGCUAGCACCGGGGUAUCCCGCCCAGGUUGAUUCCGGUGCGAAACAAAAACCAGGGCUACACUCGUAGAUGCUCCUGUGGCUAUACUUCCGGACGCGGGUUCGACUCCCGCCGCCUCCACCA
rnacentral:tmRNA from 1 species